AAAGCACAGAACUUUGAAGACUCCCAGUGGUAAAUGGAAGGCCAAAAAUGAGCAAACCUGAGAGCUGCGGUAACUCCUUGAUGGUAGCACUAAAAUGUCAGCCAUAGGAAAAUCUGUGGUCAAGAUUGUACACCUCCAUGGAAAUGGGCCUCAGUUGGACCUUGUGCAUCCUUUACAUCAUGUUCCCCCAAAAAGGGUGGUGGUGGCUGUCACACACAGAAACUCCUGAUUCUUGAUCCAGAAGACUUCUGUUGCCAAAGGGAAAUUACAUCCAAGGUACCAACAUUAAGCUACCAUAUAUUAAACAAUUUAUUUUCAGAAGUUUGAACAGAAGUCAAGAAUCAGCAAACAUUUGGAAAAGACCAAUAACAUCAGAAAAGAAGCAGAUAAAUAAAAAAUAACGACUACCAAGGGAAGACAAAAAGUAAAUAAAAGUAAAUUGGUUUGCUCAACAAAUAUGUAGGAGAAUGGAGUUCAUUAUAGAAUUUGAAUAUUGAAACAAAAGCAAUUCAUAGAAAACUUGGGAAACCUAACACACAUGACCCAUGAUCACCAAUUAGUCCACAAAAUGAAGAGCUAGCAAAUAAUAAAAGGGAAACAUAUUUUCAAGGUAAAUGCUGAAAGAUCAGAGAAGUAAAGGAGUAGCCACAGUCACUUCUUACCUUUCCAAAUCCUC
rnacentral:lncRNA from 1 species